rnacentral:rRNA from 1 species
GUUGCGCCCGAAGCCAUUAGGCCGAGGGCACGCCUGCCUGGGCGUCACAC